rnacentral:ncRNA from 1 species
CGGCUGGUGUACUUCCAGAAGAUCGCCCUAGAGUUAAUAUGAAAAGUGAGUAAACUUGAUGCUCACUAUAAACUCCUUUAACUGCUGGAACUCUCAUUGAGACAAUCAGCAUCCAAGAUUUAAGAAUUUUUAUAUUAUUUAAAAUAAUAUAAAAAUUAUUGAAUAAGGUUCAACGACUAUCGAAAGCAUAGCUUAGACCGAAAUCUAAGUGAAUAAGCAAGUAGAGUAGCGCCAAGUGGUAGGUUAUUGAAGUGGAAUGGCUUCAAUUAUAAAAUCCUUUAAAGCGAAAUGGGGAGAGGUACAUAAUAGGUUAUGUACUUAAGAUAUAGUCUAAUCUAUAUAGCAAUAUAUAG